GACGAACGCUGGCGGCGCGCCUAACACAUGCAAGUCGAACGGGGUCUUUUAGAAAAGCUUGCUUUUCUGGCUGACCUAGUGGCGGACGGGUGAGUAACACGUGAGCAACCUGCCGAAGAGUGGGGGACAACAUCCGGAAACGGAUGCUAAUACCGCAUAACAUACAGAGACGGCAUCGUUUUUGUAUCAAAGGAGAAAUCCGCUUUUUGAUGGGCUCGCGCCCGAUUAGAUAGUUGGUGAGGUAACGGCUCACCAAGUCAACGAUCGAUAGCCGGACUGAGAGGUUGAACGGCCACAUUGGGACUGAGACACGGCCCAGACUCCUACGGGAGGCAGCAGUGGGGAAUAUUGCACAAUGGGGGAAACCCUGAUGCAGCGACGCCGCGUGGGUGAAGACGGCCUUCGGGUUGUAAAGCCCUGUUGACGGGGACGAUAAUGACGGUACCCGUUAAGAAAGCCACGGCUAACUACGUGCCAGCCGCCGCCGUAAGAC
rnacentral:rRNA from 1 species